GAUGCGCGUGGGGCGGAAACGACACUAACAAUCCUUCGGGUGCGUUAAUGGGCGUCGAGCGGCGGACGGGUGAGUAAUGCCUAGGAAAUUGCCUUGAUGUGGGGGAUAACCAUUGGAAACGAUGGCUAAUACCGCAUAAUGCCUACGGGCCAAAGAGGGGGACCUUCGGGCCUCUCGCGUCAAGAUAUGCCUAGGUGGGAUUAGCUAGUUGGUGAGGUAAUGGCUCACCAAGGCGACGAUCCCUAGCUGGUCUGAGAGGAUGAUCAGCCACACUGGAACUGAGACACGGUCCAGACUCCUACGGGAGGCAGCAGUGGGGAAUAUUGCACAAUGGGCGAAAGCCUGAUGCAGCCAUGCC
rnacentral:rRNA from 1 species